rnacentral:rRNA from 1 species
AUGAACUCCCUCACGGCCACCGGCAGCAGCAGCGGCGCCGGCAGCAGCGGCGGGGGCGGCGGCGGCGAGAUGAGGGCGGCCGACGGCGAGGGGUACCUGCGGGCCGACGGAUUCGACCUCGUCAACCUCGACAUGCAGCUGGAGAAGACGCGCUCCAGGGUCUGGCUGGAUCAGCAGCGGGGCGCCUCGCCCGCGCAGCCCGGGGAGCUCCUCGAGUGGGAGAUCGACCUCGCCAAGCUCGACAUCCAGAACCAGGUCGCCAGCGGCACCUUCGGCGUCGUCUACCGCGGCACCUACGACGGCAACGACGUGGCAGUGAAGGUACUGGACUGGGGGCAGGAAGGUCAGGAGAGCUCGUCGAAGCACCGGGAGGCCUUUGAGAAGGAGGUGGCUGUGUGGCAGAAGCUCGAUCACCCCAAUGUCACAAAGUUCGUGGGGGCGUCGAUGGGGACGUCCCAGCUGAAGAUCCCGGCGUCGAAGAAGGGCGGCAGCAGCCACGGGCCAGGCCAGCGCUGUGUGGUGGUGGUGGAGUACCAGCAUGGCGGCACCCUGAAGACGCUGCUGUUCCAGCACCGGGACAAGAAGCUGCCUUACAAGAAGGUGGUCCAGCUGGCGCUGGACAUGGCGAGAGGGCUGAGCUACCUGCACUCGCAGAAGAUCGUGCACCGGGACGUAAAGGCGGAGAACAUGCUGCUGGACAGGAAGAAGUCGGUGAAGAUCGCGGACUUUGGGGUGGCCCGUGUGGAGGCGCAGGACGACGACAACAUGACGGGGCAGACGGGCACGCUGGGGUACAUGGCCCCCGAGGUGCUGGAGGGGCGGCCGUACGACCACAAGUGCGACGUGUACAGCUUCGGCGUCCUGCUGUGGGAGACGUACUGCUGCGCCUUGGCGUACCCGAACUACAGCAUCGCCGACAUCUCGUACCACGUGGUGAAGCUGGGCAUCCGGCCCGACAUCCCGCGGUGCUGCCCCAAGCCGCUGUCGGAGAUCAUGACCCGGUGCUGGGACGGCAACCCGGACCACCGGCCGGAGAUGGCCGAGGUGGUGGCGAUGCUGGAGAGGAUCGACACCACCAAGGGCAAGAGCAUGACGCCCGCCGUCCCCGACCACACCUCGCAGGGCUGCAGCUGCUUCGGCUUCUCCAAGUAG